UACGUAGGGUGCGAGCGUUAAUCGGAAUUACUGGGCGUAAAGCGUGCGCAGGCGGUGAUGUAAGACAGUUGUGAAAUCCCCGGGCUCAACCUGGGAACUGCAUCUGUGACUGCAUCGCUGGAGUGCGGCAGAGGGGGAUGGAAUUCCGCGUGUGGCAGUGAAAUGCGUAGAUAUGCGGAGGAACACCGAUGGCGAAGGCAAUCCCCCUGGGCCUGCACUGACGCUCAUGCACGAAAGCGUGGGGAGCAAACAGG
rnacentral:rRNA from 1 species